rnacentral:rRNA from 1 species
AGAGUUUGAUCCUGGCUCAGGAUGAACGCUGGCGGCAUGCCUAAGACAUGCAAGUCGAACGAGGUGGCCCAAAGAAGAUUGAGUGCUUGCACAAGAUUGGAAUUGGAUUACCACCUAGUGGCGGACGGGUGAGUAACACGUAGGUGACCUGCCUUUGAGUUUGGGAUAACUAUUAGAAAUGAUAGCUAAUACCGGAUUAAAUAUAGAUUCGUUUCUAUAUUAAAAGGAGCCUUUAAAGCUUCGCUUAAAGAUGGGCCUGCGGCGUAUUAGCUAGUUGGUGAGGUAAUGGCUUACCAAGGCGACGAUGCGUAGCCGAACUGAGAGGUUGAUCGGCCACAUUGGGACUGAGACACGGCCCAAACUCCUACGGGAGACAGCAGUUAGGAAUAUUCGUCAAUGGGGGAAACCCUGAACGAGCAAUGCCGCGUGAACGAUGAAGGCCCUAUGGGUUGUAAAGUUCUGUUGCAUGGGACGAACGGCUAGGAUAGGAAAUGAUCUUAGUGUGACGGUACCAUGCCAGAAAGCUCCGGCUAACUACGUGCCAGCAGCCGCGGUAAUACGUAGGGAGCGAGCGUUAUCCGGAUUUAUUGGGCGUAAAGGGUGCGUAGGCGGUUUGUUAAGUAUGAGAUUAAAGCCUGGGGCUUAACCUCAGUUCGUUUCAUAAACUGGCAGACUUGAGUAUGGCAGAGGUAAACGGAAUUUCUAGUGUAGCGGUUAAAUGCGUAGAUAUUAGAAGGAACACCAGUGGCGAAGGCGGUUUACUGGGCCAUAACUGACGCUGAGGCACGAAAGCGUGGGGAGCAAAUAGGAUUAGAUACCCUAGUAGUCCACGCCGUAAACGAUGAGUACUAAGUGUUGGGUGUCAAAGCUCAGUGCUGCAGUUAACGCAAUAAGUACUCCGCCUGAGUAGUACGUUCGCAAGAAUGAAACUCAAAGGAAUUGACGGGGGCCCGCACAAGCGGUGGAGCAUGUGGUUUAAUUCGAAGCAACGCGAAGAACCUUACCAAGUCUUGACAUCCCGGUGACCGGACAGUAAUGUGUCCUUUUCUUCGGAACACCGGUGACAGGUGGUGCAUGGUUGUCGUCAGCUCGUGUCGUGAGAUGUUGGGUUAAGUCCCGCAACGAGCGCAACCCUUAUUGUUAGUUGCUACGCAAGAGCACUCUAGCGAGACUGCCGUUGACAAAACGGAGGAAGGUGGGGAUGACGUCAAAUCAUCAUGCCCUUUAUGACCUGGGCUACACACGUACUACAAUGGCGUUUAACAAAGAGAAGCAAGACCGCGAGGUGGAGCAAAACUCAAAAACAACGUCUCAGUUCAGAUUGCAGGCUGCAACUCGCCUGCAUGAAGUCGGAAUUGCUAGUAAUCGCGGAUCAGCAUGCCGCGGUGAAUACGUUCCCGGGCCUUGUACACACCGCCCGUCACACCAUGAGAGCCGGGGGGACCCGAAGUCGGUAGUCUAACCGCAAGGAGGACGCCGCCGAAGGUAAAACUGGUGAUUGGGGUGAAGUCGUAACAAGGUAGCCGUAGGAGAACCUGCGGCUG